rnacentral:rRNA from 1 species
CAGUAGCCGCGGUAAUACAUAGGGUGCAAGCGUUAAUCGGAAUUACUGGGCGUAAAGCGUGCGCAGGCGGUUCGCUAAGACAGAUGUGGAAUCCCCGGGCUUAACCUGGGAACUGCAUUUGUGACUGGCGGGCUAGAGUAUGGCAGAGGGGGGUAGAAUUCCACGUGUAGCAGUGAAAUGCGUAGAGAUGUGGAGGAAUACCGAUGGCGUAGGCAGCCCCCUGGGCCAAUACUGACGCUCAUGCACGAAAGUGUGGGGAGCAAACAGGAUUAGAUACCCGUGUAGUCCCUGUCUCUUAUAC